CCUACGGGAGGCAGCAGUAGGGAAUUUUCGGCAAUGGGGGGAACCCUGACCGAGCAACGCCGCGUGAACGAAGAAGUUAUUCGUAAUGUAAAGUUCUUUUAACAGGGAAGAAAGAGAAAUUGGACGGUACCUGAAGAAUAAGCUCCGGCAAACUACGUGCCAGCAGCCGCGGUAAUACGUAGGGAGCGAGCGUUAUCCGGAAUUAUUGGGCGAAAAGGGUGCGUAGAUGGCAUAGUAAGUCUUUUGUAAAAAUGCUGGGCUAAACCCAGUAGGGCAAAAGAUACUGCAAAGCUAGAGUAUGACAGAGGCAAGUGGAACUACAUGUGUAGCGGUAAAAUGCGUAAAUAUAUGUAAGAGCACCAGUGGCGAAGGCGGCUUGCUGGGUCGAUACUGACAUUGAGGCACGAAAGCGUGGGGAGCAAACAGGAUUAGAUACCCGAGUAGUC
rnacentral:rRNA from 1 species